rnacentral:rRNA from 1 species
UACGGAGGGUGCAAGCGUUGUUCGGAAUCAUUGGGCGUAAAGCGCGUGUAGGCGGUUUCGUAAGUCUGAAGUGAAAGCCCUGGGCUCAACCCAGGAAGUGCUUUGGAUACUGCAAAACUAGAGGACGAGAGAGGAUGGUGGAAUUCCUGGUGUAGGGGUGAAAUCCGUAGAUAUCAGGAGGAACAUCAGUGGCGAAGGCGGCCAUCUGGCUCGUAACUGACGCUGAGACGCGAAAGCGUGGGGAGCAAACAGG